rnacentral:misc_RNA from 1 species
AUGCAGUUGUACUAUAUUUGAUUGGCCGGCUUUAUUUGCUUGGUCUUAUGCAGUACACAGCUUCUUCGCCAAAGUUUUGAGCUUUCAACGCUUAAGAGCUUGGUUAGAUCAUAAAUAGAAUAUUGUACAAAUGGAUAUAUGAGUAAAUCAAAUUGACUCGUGUUUAAAUUGAAAGUACUUAUUCUUAUACGAAAGACUUCUCUUUGCUUUAGUUAGCUUAUGUGAAUUCUCUCUUUGUUG